rnacentral:rRNA from 1 species
AUUGAACGCUGGCGGCAGGCUUAACACAUGCAAGUCGAGCGGAGUGAUGGUGCUUGCACUAUCACUUAGCGGCGGACGGGUGAGUAAUGCUUAGGAAUCUGCCUAUUAGUGGGGGACAACAUCUCGAAAGGGAUGCUAAUACCGCAUACGUCCUACGGGAGAAAGCAGGGGGUCACUUGUGACCUUGCGCUAAUAGAUGAGCCUAAGUCGGAUUAGCUAGUUGGUGGGGUAAAGGCCUACCAAGGCGACGAUCUGUAGCGGGUCUGAGAGGAUGAUCCGCCACACUGGGACUGAGACACGGCCCAGACUCCUACGGGGGGCAGCAGUGGGGAAUAGUGGACAAUGGGGGGAACCCUGAUCCAGCCAUGCCGCGUGUGUGAAGAAGGCCUUAUGGUUGUAAAGCACUUUAAGCGAGGAGGAGGCUUACCUAGUUAAUACUUGGGAUAAGUGGACGUUACUCGCAGAAUAAGCACCGGCUAACUCUGUGCCAGCCGCCGCAGUAAUAC